UACGUAGGCGGCAAGCGUUGUCCGGAAUUAUUGGGCGUAAAGCGCGCGUAGGCGGCCUUUUAAGUCUGAUGUGAAAGCCCACGGCUCAACCGUGGAAGGUCAUUGGAAACUGAAAGGCUUGAGUACAGAAGAGGAAAGCGGAAUUCCACGUGUAGCGGUGAAAUGCGUAGAGAUGUGGAGGAACACCAGUGGCGAAGGCGGCUUUCUGGGCUGUAACUGACGCUGAGGCGCGAAAGCGUGGGGAGCAAACAGG
rnacentral:rRNA from 1 species